CCAGUCUGCAUGGAGCCGACCUUGAAAUACCACCCUUUAAUGUUUGAUGUUCUAACGUGGACCCGUAAUCCGGGUUGCGGACAGUGUCUGGUGGGUAGUUUGACUGGGGCGGUCUCCUCCUAAAGAGUAACGGAGGAGCACGAAGGUUGGCUAAUCCUGGUCGGACAUCAGGAGGUUAGUGCAAUGGCAUAAGCCAGCUUGACUGCGAGCGUGACGGCGCGAGCAGGUGCGAAAGCAGGUCAUAGUGAUCCGGUGGUUCUGAAUGGAAGGGCCAUCGCUCAACGGAUAAAAGGUACUCCGGGGAUAACAGGCUGAUACCGCCCAAGAGUUCAUAUCGACGGCGGUGUUUGGCACCUCGAUGUCGGCUCAUCACAUCCUGGGGCUGAAGUAGGUCCCAAGGGUAUGGCUGUUCGCCAUUUAAAGUGGUACGCGAGCUGGGUUUAGAACGUCGUGAGACAGUUCGGUCCCUAUCUGCCGUGGGCGCUGGAGAACUGAGGGGGGCUGCUCCUAGUACGAGAGGACCGGAGUGGACGCAUCACUGGUGUUCGGGUUGUCAUGCCAAUGGCACUGCCCGGUAGCUAAAUGCGGAAGAGAUAAGUGCUGAAAGCAUCUAAGCACGAAACUUGCCCCGAGAUGAGUUCUCCCUGAGACUUAGAGUCUCCUGAAGGAACGUUGAAGACGACGACGUUGAUAGGCCGGGUGUGUAAGCGCAGCGAUGCGUUGAGCUAACCGGUACUAAUGAACCGUGAGG
rnacentral:rRNA from 1 species